rnacentral:lncRNA from 12 species
GCACUAUAAAAAAGUGAGUACAUUUUGUUUAUGUCUUCUAGACUCUAACUGGAGAGCUACAGCACAGCGUAUGAGAGCUGAGAACAAAAUCAGACUGGCAAAAAAAAAGGGAAAAAUGAAAGCAUGCAAAAAGAGUCUUUCCCAAGAGAGUCUUCAGCUGGCAGCAUCUAUCCUUAAUGUUUCAACAACUGAUCUUUAUGAAAUACUAAAAGAAGGAGAUGAUGAGUUUCCUUUUGCCUCAUACUUAAUGGAUGCUGUACUGGAAAAAUUAAAUGAGAAGAAGAAAUUGUUAGAAGAAUACAGUUCCCUCAUGAAGCAUACUGUAUGAUAUUCCUAAGAUUUAUAUUUGCAAAGUGUUACUAAAAU